UUAGCGAAGGAGACUGAGUUUCUAUGAAGUUAACAGACUUUGCCCAAGCUCACGAGUUCCAGAUUCCGCUGUUUUGGAUUCUGAGCUGGGUUGCUGUGGUCGCCUCUCAGUCUGGCGCUGGAGAGGUUACUCUGUCCGGCAUUUCUGACAGGCAGUUUCAGAAUGUUUCUAAUAACGACAAUCAAAGAAACUCAAAAUCCGAAGGCCAAGGGGUGAAGGAGAAGGGCGUUUGGUCCUCUGUGAACUGCUCUGGUUUUACUAUUCUCAGCCUCUAAGAUCCCAGCAUUCCUCGGAGGUAACUGAUAAGCUCCAAGCCAAGAACCUGGGAAGGAAUGAAGCGGUCCAGAGCAUCUCGACUGGAUUCUUAGGGAUAUGGGGAUCUCGCAGGGGGACCGUGGUGACUCGUGGCUUUACAGAGGAACCAGAAGGCUGGAGCUGAAGGGAAGUUAUGAAAAAUGGCAGCUGUGCAGGAGGGGAUCACAUAAAAACUUAAGGAAGAGGAUCUGGCUGGUGACUUUGGGAACCCUUGUUCCCAAGGGAGGGUGCCUGGUUCCUUUCCUUGGAGGAGACGCAGGAGCCAGUAACUACUAAGAUGAAGGGUAACUAUGUGGUGAGAGAUGUCUCUUCAGACAGCUCUUUUCACUCUGGAGACAGGGGUGCUCUGUCCCAUUCCAGUUCAGGUUGGGUCUACCCUGACACCAAAAAAAAUCCCAGGAUGUAGAUGCCAUGUUCAAACCUGCAUAAAUUCAAGAGAAGGUGCCCGAGGGUGGCUCUUGGGAGCUGUGCUACUGAGAGGACUCAUGGAUGCCCAGAGCCAGAUGGUCAGUCAGGGGACAUCAGGUCACAACCCCACUUUAAUCAAAUUGGCUUUAAAGGGUCAAAUGAGAAACAGUUUCUGGCUCUCUUCUACCAAAAAUAGUGCUGACAGACUCAGCUGCUCCCUUCACUCAGCGGAACACGACAGCGGAACACGGUUCAAGACCUCAGAUGCAUCUUGGGGCCAGUUGCCAAAUGCAGCUUUCUAUGGUAGCCGGACCCUACUGGAUAGUCCUCUCUGUGGCCUUCAGAUCUCAGAACUGAGAACCAGACCUCCUGACACCCCAUCCCUCUUUCUGGUCCCAGGAAUGGCUGAGCAAAAGAUAUGGGGUCGUUUCUCAGGUAUUUUGGACACAAUGAUGCGAAUGUCCACUUUCUGUCCAUCUGUCACUGACCCUUUGAGUCUCCGCUGAGUCCUUCACGGAGACCUCCCUUGCUUGAAGCCACCCUCUGAGAAUUCAGCCAACGGAGACUUGCACGCCGGAGGAAACGCUUUUGAUGGGAGCCCACCUCAGACUCCCACUGACCACCUUGCUCCAGGUCGACAGUGUCCUGAGGUGUCCCCUCUGGCACCUGGCCUGGGCAGCUGUCCACUCUGCCACCCAGCAGGAGUUAAUGUCACGGUAUCAGUCAAGUUAGCCAAAGUGGAUUAGGACAGGAGAAGUUACUCCCGGACUCACCACUAUAUAUGUCAGGGUGGUUUCUUAAGGACGAGUCAUUAUAGGGGUUGUCUGCAAUAAACAAAAGAGGGUGAGCGAACAGGGAGGCAUGGAGCAGGUAGGGGCACAAACAUGAGGAGGGAGAAAGGACGGAAACACAAAGCCACAUUGCAACUGAGGAGAGUGCCAGUGGGUUUGCAAAAGAAAAUGACACAGCUGGGAAAGGGACGCACUUGGUAGCGAACAAUCAACGCAACAGAGCUCAAAGAAAACAAAGUGGUUAAAUCCUGCAAAAGAAAGCAAUAAUAAAAUGAGAUUAUUCUGAAAGUAAA